rnacentral:tRNA from 1 species
AAGAUUUUAAGUUAAUUUAAACUAUUAACCUUCAAAGUUAAAUAUACUAAUUAGAAGUAAAUCUUA